GACAGAGGGUGCAAACGUUGUUCGGAAUUACUGGGCGUAAAGCGUGUGUAGGCGGCUACGCAAGUCGGAUGUGAAAGCCCCGGGCUCAACCCGGGAAGUGCACCCGAAACUGCGUGGCUUGAGUACCGGAGAGGUUGGUGGAAUUCUCGGUGUAGAGGUGAAAUUCGUAGAUAUCGAGAGGAACACCGGUGGCGAAGGCGGCCAACUGGACGAGUACUGACGCUGAGGCGCGAAAGCUAGGGGAGCAAACAGG
rnacentral:rRNA from 1 species